GGUCUUAGCAAUGCUUAUUGAGGCUAGGUGGUGUGAUAACUUUUUAUCCCGUUGCAAUGCACGGGCAUUUUUGCUAGUUUAUAUAAAAUAAAAAUCUCUCAGCUCAGUCGUUCCCCUCCAACAUCCUUAUCCAUCCGCAUGCACCACCUCUUCCAUUAGGUACUGGCGCAGUUUGACGUUGAGCCAAGUACGCGGACGCGUCCAUCGCGUUCUCGAGGAUGUGGAUCCUCGACGACCUCGUGGAGUCCGGCAGAGAGUUCUCAAGGGUUUCGGCCAAGAUGGUGACCUCUUCUUGGCCUACGGCUAGAUGUCCAUGGCACAGGUGUUGUAGUUUGGCCGAGUGGAGGAGGCUGCGAGGGAAAUCACCGUGUCACCUGCCGAGUUUGUUGAGCAGCUCACCUGUGUCAGCGAGAUGCCAUUGAUUUGCUUAUAUCUAGUCUUUCUUUUAAGUUAUUGAUGAAGAAGGGUCUUAUCUCGUAUCACGGAGAUUGAUGGUAUCAUUUAUUGGAAUUCUGAUGCAUUACCUGGUCUGACUGGUUUCCGUGCCUCAUUGUAGCCAGGAGUGCUUUGGCGUCAUUUCUUCCGGCGUCAAUUCGAGCCGGCAUCGCUUCGUCGGGCGUCGAGCGUGCUUUCGCGUGAUUUGCCGAGCGUCCAGUCAAGCGGCUGGAGGUGGUUUUGCGUUUGGAUGUUGAGUCUCAUGUGGCGUGUUCAAGUCAUCGGCACCGGCUUGUAAUUGUUUGGUGGGUCCUUGUGCGUCCGUGUGUACUUAUUUAUAUAUGGGUUGUAUUUGGUUGUGGUGGCCGAGACUGGUCAGAAAUCAGAUGCCAACACCGUGUGCAAAUCAGACUUGUUUUAUUUGCGUGUAUUCGUUCCUGAUCUGGAACUUUCCUCACAUGAGGUGGUUGCCCUAGUUAGUUAAUAAUAGGUUCCUUAUUUGUUUAGGUUUGACUAAUAUUCUUCAUAAGCAUUGCCUUAAUUCUA